CAGUAAUAGUGAAAAUAGAGCUACAAGAAACAUUGUACAUAGGACAAUCAUGCCUCGGUGCCCUACAACAUAGGCACCUUGGGAGCUCACACAGUUCUCCCAGUGUCUUUUUCAUUGUUCAAAACACUGCAAAACCCUUUGUUGGUAUCGCCAUCAACUGCCUCAUUGUAUUUUCCUGAAUCUCAGUGAUGGUCUGAUAUUUCUUCCCUUUCAAAGAGGAUUUUAGUUUUGGGAAAAGCCAGAAGUCACAGGGCACCAAAUCUGGGCUGUAGAGGGGCUGAGUCACCUGUGUGAUUUGAUGUUUAGCCAAAAAACUCUGCAUAAGACGUGGAACAAGAGCGGGCACAUUGCCAUGAUGAAAGUACCAGUCACCAGUAUCCCAUAGCUGCAGCUGUUUUCAUCACAAUGCAUCUCUCAACUGAUGGAGAACAUUGAGGUAGCAUUCC